rnacentral:rRNA from 1 species
UACGUAGGGGGCAAGCGUUGUCCGGAAUCAUUGGGCGUAAAGAGCUCGUAGGCGGUCUGUCGCGUCUGCUGUGAAAACUCGGGGCUUAACCCCGGGCCUGCAGUGGGUACGGGCAGACUAGAGUGCGGUAGGGGAGACUGGAAUUCCUGGUGUAGCGGUGAAAUGCGCAGAUAUCAGGAGGAACACCGGUGGCGAAGGCGGGAUCCUGGGCCAGUACUGACGCUGAGGAGCGAAAGCGUGGGGAGCAAACAGG